rnacentral:rRNA from 1 species
ACGGCUCAGUAACACGUGGAUAACAUGCCCUAAGGUGGGGGAUAAUCUCGGGAAACUGAGGAUAAUACCCCAUAGAUCUAGAAGGCUGGAAUGCCUCUAGGUUCAAAACUCCGGUGCCUUAGGAUUGGUCUGCGGUCUAUCAGGCAGUAGUGGGUGUAACGGACCCACUAGCCCGUGACGGAUAUGGGCCUUGAGAGAGGGUGCCCAGAGAUGGACUCUGAGACAUGAGUCCAGGCCCUACGGGGCGCAGCAGUCGCGAAAACUUCGCAAUGGGGGAAACCCCGACGAGGGAAUUCCAAGUGCCAGCACUUUGUGUUGGCUGUUCUUCUGUCUAAAAAACAGGAGAAGUAAGGGGCGGGUAAGACGGGUGCCAGCCGCCGCGGUAAUACCCGCGCCCCGAGUGGUGGUCGAUAUUAUUGAGCCUAAAACGUCCGUAGCCGGUCUUCUAAAUCCUUGGGUAAAUCGGGCAGCUUAACUGUCCGAAUUCCGGGGAGACUGGGAGACUUGGGACCGGGAGAGGUCAGAGGUACUUCUGGGGUAGGGGUAAAAUCCUGUAAUCCUGGAAGGACCACCGGUGGCGAAGGCGUCUGACUAGAACGGAUCCGACGGUGAGGGACGAAGCCCUGGGGCGCAACGGGAUUAGAUACCCCGGUAGUCCAGGGUGUAAACGCUGCGGGCUUGGUGUUGGGGGUCCUUAGUGGGCGCCCAGUGCCGGAGAGAAGUUGUUAAGCCUGCUGCUUGGGGAGUAUGUCCGCAAGGAUGAAACUUAAAGGAAUUGGCGGGGGAGCAC